AGGACCUCGGAUUGACAAGUGUGUGGGAUGAAGAGCUUAGCUACCUGCUGAAUCCUGCUUUAGCAUCCUACGAGACGGAGAGAAUGACGGGGGUGUCUUCCGGAAAUGAGGAGUUCCAGCAAGCCAUCAGACUGGCUGUUCCAGAUGGACAUACCUUCAAGGGUUUCCCUAUUCAGUUUGUUCAUCGAAACGCAAGGAGGGUCUUCUCCUUGUGCCUCAGAUCACCUGUCUGUGAAGAAAUCAUCUGUUGCCGUGGCGACCAUGUAAGGCUGGCUGUGCGGGUUCGAACUUUCACCUACCCAGAGUCCGCUUGUGCAGUCUGGGUGAUGUUUGCCUGCAAAUACAAGUCAGUUCUGUAGACGACAAAUCAUCCUUUCAGAGCAAGAAAAGUGUUCCCUCAUAGCAGGCAAAGAAAUAUUUUAUUUAUUUUAUUUAUUUAUUCAUGUAUUCAUUCAUUCAUUCAUUCAUUUUAUUUAGUUGUUAAUUUAUUUUACCUUUUUUUUUUUUGGGGGGGGGCUACUUUUUACAAAUUACUGACUAAAUCUGCAACAUUAGAUAAGCUUUCAGUUUAAUUUCCAGGGCUCUUUUGGGUAUUUCGGGGGCUAAAUUGCCCUCAACCCCCAUGUAAUUUUUUCCCCUGAUGCCAAAUUUCCUAUACCAUGGCAGUAAAAGAUACAAUUACCUGUUUGAUUAAACGUAACUGUAAACGUAUGGUCAACUAUACAAAAAUGUCUCGACAAGUGUAAGAUCUGAAUUGUAAUUGUUUCUUUCCAAACUUUUUGUACCAAAAAGAAAAAAAUACUAAUAUUUUUGUUUCGACUGUCAAAUUAAAGUAAAUCUCAUGUGAAAUCACAAUAUGCAUCACUAAAAUAGAUUUUCAUUUUGUGUCAUUCAUAGCAUAAUAAUUCUAACACAGAAUAGACUGGAAUAGCGAAAAACACUUUUUUUAAUUGCCAAAACGUAUUGAGAGAGGCUGUGUGAGAUAAGCACAUGAUGUAAAUGCAGGGGUAAUUAGAUAAAAUGUCAGUUUCAUCUAUUUUAUUUUUCAUUUUUUUCUAUUUACCUUUAUUUUCAUUUAAUUUUAUUUGUUAUCUUAUUCUGACAAUUUUCUGAAUGUUUUUCUGUCAGGUGAAUUUGAUAUUACCUCAUAAUAGCUUUAUUCAUUUUCAUUGUCAGGUGGAUUUAGUCUGUGAGACUAGACCAGUAGUCUUCCAAACUAUAUAGGAAAACCUUGUUUUGAUAUGUGCAGUUUUAGACUUCAAAAUGAAUUAAUUACUGCUCAGGAUUUUUAUUUCACCUGUAAAAAAAAAUGACCUAGUUUCAAUUUUGGGGGCAUUGUUGUCUAGUGGUUAUGACUCUUGUCGUUGAAUUAGAGGGGCGAGGGUUUGAAUCCCAGCCAUGGCGUGUUUUCAGCAAGAUAUUCACCAACAUUUUGCUGCACUCAACCCAGGUUAGGUGAAUGGGUACCCGGCAGGAUUUCAUUCCUUGAAUGCACUGAGUUCUGGAAGGCAGCUCGAGCUAAAUCCGGGUUGAUAAUAAUAACGGUGCGCCUCAGAAUAGAUUAUUUCUAGAUAAAUGGCGCAAUAUAAAUGCCUGUUAUAAUUAUUAUAAUAUUGUAGGGAUGGUCAUUGUGCAUAUAUACAUACAUGUAUAUGAUGAAAUAUUUAUAUUCUUAUAUUUUGAUGUUUGUCACGGUUGAUACUUAUUGUAAUUAAAUUUCAUUGAUUCAUGGAAUUCUA